rnacentral:rRNA from 2 species
UACAAUGACUCUUGGCAACGGAUAUCUCGGCUCUUGCAUCGAUGAAGAACGUAGCGAAAUGCGAUACUUGGUGUGAAUUGCAGAAUCCCGUGAACCAUCGAGUCUUUGAACGCAAGUUGCGCCCGAAGCCAUUAGGUCGAGGGCACGUCUGCCUGGGUGUCACA